CCUACGGGUGGCAGCAGUAGGGAAUCUUUCACAAUGGGCGAAAGCCUGAUGCAGCAACGCCGCGUGCAGGAUGAAGGCCUUCGGGUUGUAAACUGCUUUUAUAAGCGAGAAAUAUGAUGGUAACUUAUGAAUAAGGAUCGGCUAACUACGUGCCAGCAGCCGCGGUCAUACGUAGGAUCCGAGCAUUAUCCGGAGUGACUGGGUGUAAAGAGUUGCGUAGGUGGCAUAAUAAGUAGCUAGUGAAAUCUGGUGGCUCAACCAUUCAGACUAUUAGGUAAACUGUUAAGCUCGAGACCGUUAGGGGUAACUGGAAUUUCUAGUGUAGGAGUGAAAUCCGUAGAUAUUAGAAGGAACACCAAUAGCGUAGGCAGGUUGCUGGGACGGUUCUGACACUAAGGCACGAAAGCGUAGGGAGCAAACGGGAUUAGAUACCCCAGUAGUC
rnacentral:rRNA from 1 species